GCGAGUAGAAGCAGUGUAAAAAAAACAUAGGGUGGCGGAUGUCAAUGUAAAUAGUCCGGCUGGCCAUUUGAUUUAUUGUUCAGCAGUCUUAUGGCUUGGUGGUAGAAGCUGAUAAGGAGCCUUUUGGACCUAGACUUGGCACUCCGGUACCGCUUGCCGUACGGUAGCAAAGAGAGUCUCUUACUUCGGUGACUGGAGUCUGACAACUUGUUGGGCCUUCCUCUGACACCGCCUAGUAUAUAGGUCCUGGCGCAUGCGCACUUGGGUCAAAAACAAUACAUUCUUUCCAGACAAUAUAUGUUUUCGGUUGCUUGGAAAUGUUUAUGUAAAACUUUUUUGGAAGUACAUACCGGGCUGGACGGCAGUAAAUGACGAUAGUUGCUCAGCGAAACUCGAUAUUUGAAAGGUAAGGUAUCCAUGAAGAUUUUGUCUACAAUGGGCGGUGGGGGAACCAGGUCCUCCAGCUUCAGGUAGAAGAUGCGCUGCAGGCCCUGGGUGCAGAGGGUGCGCAGCUCAGGGAGCUUCCCCAGUAGUCGGGACAGGAAGUUGGGCUGGGGCCUCCCCGCAUCGGAGCCACUGCUGGACACAUGGUCCCUCAGACAGGUGAUGAGGCAGUUCUGGAACUCCUCCACCCGUUUGGGCUCUUUAAGGCCAUGGCGAUCUGAGGAGAAACCACAAGGAGUAACAUCUUGAUGAGAAAUGUGAAUGGGCAUUUUACUGUACCAUUUACAACUGCUGUGUCCUGUGCACGUGAGCAAUAAACUCUGAUUCAUUUGA